rnacentral:lncRNA from 1 species
AGGUGGAGUGGCUGUUAUGUUUUCUAGGCACUAGAAUGGUGUUUUUUGGGUGUUUUGCUUCCUAGGGUGUGUAUGGACGAAUUUCUGUGAUAAAAUGAUGAAUAUGGGGGAUUAUUCUUUGGCCAAGGGGUGUAAACAUGUAUUUAUAGGCCCCAAAAACCUUAGAAAAUCAGGUUAGGCUAGGGAUGAAAUGCAUGGCAAGUUGGUGUGUGUGUGUGUGCAAUGGUCCAAGGGUGAAAAUGAAGUGAUGAUGCAAAGUGUGAAGGGUAAAAUGGAGUGGUG